AUCAUCUACACAGUGGUAGACACACACACACACACACACAAUGACUUGUUGUCACAUGUCAUGUAAGGUGAUGCAAGAAUUUCCAUGGAAGGCCUAUUUCAAUAGAGGGAACACAUUUCAAUAGAGGGAACACAUUUCAAUAGAAGGCCCAUUUACAUGGAUUAUAAUAUACAUACACUAAACUAUUUCUGCUGUGUCAUGUUUGUACCAGUUCCAGGGGUCAUUGAGGAACCAAUGUUUGAGGUGGCAUGUAGCCUAGUGGUUAGAGCGUUGGGUCUGUAACUGAACGAUUGCUAGGUCAAAUCCCAGAGCUGACAAGAUUACAAAUCUGUCGUUCUUCCCCUGAACAAGGCAGUUAACCCACUCUUCCUAGGCUGUCAUUGUAAAUAAGAAUUUGUUCUUAACUGACUUGCCUAGUUAAAUAAAAUCAAGAUCUUGAACUUUUAGAGUUAACAGCUUGGCAACGGAGUUCUGACCAUGUUGGUCGUUUGAAUGUGACGUUAUUUGUCUGUGUAGGCUGCCUGUGUAAAAGGAAAUGUAUGCUUGAUCUGUAAAUGUGGUUGGAUACGUCAUAUGGAUGGUGUGAUGCAAUUACGGAACCUCCAGAGUCAUGCUGAGGCCAAACUGAACUCCAUACUGCCUCACCGAUCGCCUCAACUUUUGUAACAAUGUGGAGGGCUCCUUAUAGCUCUGCAUUGACAUGAUUGGUUGAUGGUAGGUGAGGGCGGGAGGUUCUGUAUCAACACAAACUUACUUCCUGAACAAGGUCCUUGACAACAGCUCUGCGCUGCUCUGGGAAGCGCAGGAAGUACCUGACUUCUACAGAGGCCGAAUCACCGUAAAUGCUGCACGCCACCAAUGCAGAUGGUCGGACUUUAACGGCCUUUAACCUCUCUUGGGUAGGGGGCAGUAUUUUCACGUCCGGAUGAAAAACGUGUCCAAAGUAAACUGCCUGUUACUCAGGCCCAGAAGCUAAGAUAUGCAUAUAAUGAGUAGAUCUGGAUAGAAAACACUCUAAAGUUUCUAAAACUGUUACAAUUAUGUCUGUGGGUAUAACAGAACUGAUAUGGCAGGCGAAACCCUGAGGACAAACCACCCCCCCCCAAAAAAAAUAUUUUCAGCCUACCACUGUUUUCAAUGGCUGUCACAUUUAUAAUAAGGUGAAAUCCUCCCAGAGUGCAGUUCCUAGGGCUUCCACUAGAUGUCAACAGUCUUUAGAAAUAGUUUCAUCCUGGUUUUUGGAAAAAUGAGCCAGAAAUUGUAGCUUUUCUAGGUGGCUCCCUGUUUGGCUGUAGUGUUUCUAAGCGUGUGGAAGAGAGCGCAUUCUUUGGUAUUUUUCUCCGGUAAAGACAAUAACGAUUCUCCGUCUUCAAUUUUAUUGUUUAUUUGCGUAUUAGGAUACCUAAGGUUUGAUUAUAAACGUUGUUUGACUUGUUUGGAGAAGUAACGUUUGGGAUUCAUUUUGUAUGCAUUUGGAUGGAGGGAAUUAUCGAACAAAAGGUCCAUUUGUGAUGUAUCUGGGACCUUUUGGAGUGCCAACAGAAGAAGAUCAAAGGUAAGGCAUAUAUUAUAUCACUAUUUCUGACUUUCGUGGCGCACCUGCCUGGUUGAAAUAUGUUUUUCAUGCUUUUGUACGCGGGGAGCUGUCCUCAGAUAAUUGCAUGGUGUGCUUUCGCUGUAAAGCCUUUUUGAAAUCUGACACAGCGGCUGGAUUAACAAGAAGUUAAGCUUUAUUUUGCCGUAUUACACUUGCGAUGUUAUGAAAGUGAAAUAUUUAUAAUUCUGUAGUUUGAAUUUCGCGCUCUGCAAUUUCACCGGAUGUUGGCCAGGUGGGACGCUACCGUCCCACCUGCCCAUAAGAAGUUAACUCACCUGAGAGAGUGUGAGUUUGCCCCGCUCUGCGCGUUCCAUGGCGCUGUGCUUGUCAAUCACCACCUUCUUCAGAAAACCGCUAAAACAGAACAGAACCAUUUAACCAUACAAUUACACACCACACAUAUUACAUACACCACACUACUGUAUUGCGGCUUUGACUUAUCAGUGGUUAAGUUGAAUAUUACAUUUUACAAUCGAAGGUAUCAACGUAUACAACGUCUCAUACCACAUACACAAUCUAUCUGUCUGGAAGUUUAGGGCCAUUUCAGAUGGAUUUUUAUUUCUUUUUAAUACUCCACAUUCUCUUCCAUUCAGUCCAUGUAAAAGGAGGCUACUGGUGGCGUAGGGUAGUAGGGGUCAACUAGCCCCCUGGAGUAACUGCCCCUCCCCCUGCAAUUCACCUAAAGACCACAAGAUGUCACCAAAUUAUUUCCCCAACACUUUUCCCUGGCUGUCACUGUUCUUGCUGAACAAAAGAGUUCCUCUGUCAUCACAACUUUUGGAGAUAUUUCAACCAAACGAUUUUGUGAAAAUGACAACUGGUCACACUCAACGUCAACAAAACUAAGGAGAUGAUUGUGGACUUAAGGAAACAGCAGAGGGAACACCCCCUAUCCACAUCGAUGGAACAGUAGUGGAGAGGGUAGCAAGUUUUAAGUUCCUCGGCAUACACAUCACAGACAAACUGAAUUGUUCCACCCACACAGACAGCAUCGUGAAGAAGGCGCAGCAGCGCCUCUUCAACCUCAGGAGGCUGAAGAAAUUUGGCUUGUCACCAAAAGCACUCACAAACUUCUACAGAUGCACAAUCGAGAGCAUCCUGGCGGGCUGUAUCAUCGCCUGGUACGGCAACUGCUCCGCCCACAACCGUAAGGCUCUCCAGAGGGUAGUGAGGUCUGCACAACGCAUCACCGGGGGCAAACUACCUGCCCUCCAGGACACCUACACCACCCGAUGUUACAGGAAGGCCAUAAAGAUCUUCAAGGACAACAACCAUCCGAGCCACUGCCUGUUCACCCCGCUAUCAUCCAGAAGGCGAGGUCAGUACAGGUGCAUCAAAGCUGGGACAGAGAGACUGAAAAACAGCUUCUAUCUCAAGGCCAUCAGACUGUUUAAACAGCCACCACUAACAUUGAGUGGCUGCUGCCAACACACUGACUCAACUCCAGCCACUUUAAUAAUGGGAAUUGAUGGGAAAUUAUGUAAAAUAUAUCACUAGCCACUUUAAACAAUGCUACCUAAUAUAAUGUUUACAUACCCUACAUUAUUCAUCUCAUAUGUAUAUGUAUAUACUGUACUCUAUAUCAUCUACUGCAUCUUUAUGUAAUACAUGUAUCACUAGCCACUUUAACUAUGCCACUUUGUUUACAUACUCAUCUCAUUUGUAUAUACUGUACUCGAUACCAUCUACUGCAUCUUGCCUAUGCCGUUCUGUACCAUCACUCAUUCAUAUAUCUUUAUGUAAAUAUUCUUUAUCCCCUUACACUUGUGUCUAUAAGGUAGUAGUUUUGGAAUUGUUAGUUAGAUUACUUGUUGGUUAUUACUGCAUUGUCGGAACUAGAAGCACAAGCAUUUCGCUACACUCGCAUUAACAUCUGCUAACCAUGUGUAUGUGACAAAUAAAAUUGGAUUUGAUUUGAAAUAACAAAAAUA